AUUAUUUUAGCAUUCUUAAGAUUUUUGUACAUGUGUAAGUUAAAUGGUAAAACAUUGUUAUCUGUAUAUUGCUACAUGACAAUCUGAAAUGAAUAUAUGAAUUGCUGAAUAGAAAGUUGUCUGGAAGAUCAUACAGCAAAACUUUAACAUUACUGUGUAGAGAGUUGGGAAUGGAAGGACUGCAUCUGCUUUCUGCAUUGAAAUUUUAAAGAUAUUUCAAAAGGAACAUUAAAACAACAAAAGGGAAUUUUAAAGAUACAACCAAGUUGUGCAUCUCUGUAUUCUUGCCUGUUGACGUCUUGGGAGUAUUGGGCUGUUAUAUCCAAUUUUGUAUUCCCAGUGGCCAUUCUGAAUAGUUUGUCAGUGAUCACGAAGAACGUGUGGUUAAGAGACUCUAGUACAGCAGAGAGUUAUACACACUGAAACAGUACUGAGGGAUCCAAGAAAAGAGUAUGGGAGAAGAUGGGAUUUGAGAUGUACAUGAUGAAAAGAAGAGAUUUAUAGAUAACCUGAGGACAGCUGACAUCAGGAACAUUCCUCAUGCUAUGGACUUCCUUAAUUUAAAAGUCUUAUCUGGGAACCACAGGAGAUGAUAGUUCCAUGGAAACACACUUCUGCCUUCUUUGUAAUUGCAAGAAUUGGUAUCACCAGACCUCUCAUUGACAGUAUUAUUUAUUCAAGUGUUCUUCACCUCCGAUAUCUGGUCCCAGGAAUACCCCUUGGCGAAAUUAUUGUAAGAACAGGUGAUGACUUAACAGAAAACUGAUGCUAUUGCUUCUGUCACCAUCUUCAAAUCCAAAAGACAGUCUUCAUAGUGUAUGGAGACUUCUCUUUCAUGUGUUGGAGUGGCUAUUCCUCACAGAUCAGAAAAACUGGACUGAGAAAGCUCAAGUUUGAAAGUUACCUAAAGAGUGUCAUUGGAGGGAAUUGUAACCAGGCAUGUUGACUGUUUUCAUUAUUGACACUGGACUAAAUCUCAGGAGAUUGAAUGCGGGAGAUGUUAUUACACAGAAAUGUUAUUACACAGGAUGCUGUGAUUGCAAGGCUUCAUUUCAGUGUUCCCAUAAGUAUAAAGUGCAUAUAUUUAUAAUUUUCAUUUACUACAGGGUAAAUUUAAAAUUGAUUGAUAAAAAAAUUACCUUUUUCCAUAUUUCAAAAGGCACAGAAAUUUGUGAAGGAUAGUAUUUUUUACUUAAAUGCUUUUUUCCCCUCCUAAUUCUACUUCCCAACAUUAUCUACUGUUAAUGGAGUUUUGUGCGUAUCUUUUUGGGGUAUGUUGAUGAACAAAUGGUUAUGCUAGUAGUCCUUUGGACACAUACAUUAGCUACAAAUUUUCUAAGCAGUUACAUGCUUUAUAUAGAAAUAAUUUUUAAUUUCUCUGGCUAAUUUGUUGAAAACAGUCUUAGUAUUUCCACCUUAUUGGAAUUAAGUAUAUCCAAAAUUUAUAUUCUGAGUCAACAGUGGAAAUUUUCCCCAAAUGGUAUAGAUUGUCCUCAUCAAUCUUGAAACCCACUGUUUGUUUAUGAGACUUCUGUUUUCUUGAACAGUAGAAAUAUUACAUUUCAAUGUUUUAAUCUUUGAAAAUGUGGUAUUACAAAAAAUUGCUUUCCUUCCCUUACUGUUCAGUUCAGUCAUCUUCAUAUGUCCUUAAACCUUACUAGUCACUUAUUUCAUUUUCCUCUGUGGGUUUUAAUUUUUUUUUUUCAUUUCC